CUCCCCACAGCCCGCCCUUCCACAGAGGGAGAAUUAUUUAUUUUUUUACUACUAGCUGGAUUUUAACCCUCUGCCUCCAAAUAUCAGCACAGCGGCUCUGCAAAAACCUGACAAGUAGGUUUUUUGGGGCCUUUUCGUAGUUUUGUGCGCAGAUUUUUGUGUCAGUUUGGAUCGUGGUGCUAUUUCUUCUAUUUGGCUGUUAUGUUUUCAUCUGCAUUGAUACCCAGAGUUUUAUAUUUUUCUGUGAAAGAAUUCGGUGGUGUUUAUUUUCAAUAUCUUCUAAUUUUUGUCGUCGUUUGGUCGAGUUUGUAUCUCGCCACGUGAUGGGCCUUCCUCCUGAAGCUGUGUGCGUAUGGGCGCCAUUCCUACUGGAGAUGUGGAUCCCGCGGGGAAAUAAGAGAGGAAGAGAGAAGCUGCUCAGAAUUUCACCCCCGGAUUCGGAACGUCUUCGGAAUCGCCUCUACUGCAGAAUAUCUGCUGCAUGACUGACUCAGACCUUGGCCGAUGGCACAGGGCUUUUGGCCAAUCAGAGAACCCCAUGGUCAGACAGACGGAUGGGCCUAGCAGUAAGUAACUUAUUGUAAGCUAUUUUAUAAUACAAUUUGUCAUAUAUCAUAUUGUAUAGAUUUGGAUUUGUUUAGUAUUUAUGACUGCCUCAUCUUAAUUUGAAACAGCAUUUUAGCAAGUGCAGGUGGCUAAAACACGCACACACACACACCACACACCGUACCUAAUCUUCAGAAUCCUUUGGGGCAUAAAAAGUCCUGCCUCUAGCCAACCACCGCUAUCUCUCUGCUGUGCCUGGAGCCGUUACAAAAUGGUGUCCGCUCUCUGCCUCCAGCUCCCUCCAGCUCCCUGCAGCUCUCUCAUCCAUUUUGUGUGUCUGUGCCAAAGUAGUCAGGUAGCAGGAUGAGAGAAGAGAGAGAGAAAGAGGAGAGAGAGGGAGUAAAAGUGAAGGGAUAGGGUCGGCUAGAAGGGUCGUAGAGAA